UAGAUCUCAGACUGAUUGCUUAUACAUCUGCUGAGUGCUGCCACUCCCAUAGCUUAGAUGGCAUUUUUCACACGAGAGGUAUUUAUGCAGUUUCAGAUGAGGUCAGAAGGCAUCCUCCAAAACCAUCCUUCUUUAAUGUGGCUCAAGAUACCUUCAGCCGUGGCUGUUGAGUUUCGCUACAGAGGGUCCAUAUGCCCUGUGGGAGAGAGCCGUGGCUUGUCCCCUGCAGCUGCUGGUGGCCCUACUCACUCAGGAUGUGUCUCCCUGAUAACAAAAGCGGGUUGCUAGCCUGGCUCACUUACUCAGGGAUGUAAGCCUGGUGUCCAGCUGUGAGGUGGACUGACAUGGAGUGCUGAUUCAUAAUGAACAGUGGAAGACCACAGCUCUGCCCAGACAUGCUGGCCCUCUUCCCUGCAUCCCAUGGGCUGCUCCUACCAGCACAGCAGCCUCCCUGUCACAGCUGUGAAUCACAGCUUGAGUUGCUUGUAUCUGCAUGGCCUUUUAGAGCAUAGUUUCUGGGUGAGCUGGCUCCGUCUCUGCUGGACUUUCCUCCCCCAGAAAGCCAGACACACUUGGUGUCUCCUUAGGCUACAGCAAGGGUCAAUAUAUGUUAUCAAUGUAUAUAAUCACAGAGCCUGUGCUCAAGUCCUGACUUAACCUGACAAGACCAAGGAAACCUGAAAUAUGACUCUGGUAUUAAUAACAGGUUGUAGUAAUAAUAAUGAUGAUGUGACCUGAAAUAUCUAAAUGGUCCUGCCGGGUUUUAUGUAUUGAUUGCUUCAGACUUUUUUUAAAGCCACAGAUGCACGGGUGGGAAAAUAAUCUCUUAAACAUAACAGACAGAUAGAUUUCCAUAUAGAGCUUUACUCUUCACAGCUGGCAGAAGGUAUGAAUCAUACAAGAUUAUCAUGGCCAAUUAUAAUAUUACAUCAGUUGGAGAAUGGCUCAUUGGUAUACCUGGUUUGCAAAGAGAAACACGUCAGCACAUGAAUGCAAUUUUAAGUGAAGAAUUGAUUGAAUAUGGCUUUAGGAGACUCUGAAGAAGUUUUCUAUCAAUGCUUAAAAGUAUUGAUCUGCAUAUUCAAAAGAUGAUAAUGAGUUCAGAGAGAGAGUGUUCCUUUUUUGGGUAAUUUAGAUAACAAUUUUGAGUUUAAAAGCAUUACUAUUCAGUAUUCUCCAAAAAUCUAAUACUAAGCUUGUUGAAUAAUGCAUUUCUUAAAAAAAAAUAAUCAGGAUGUCUCAAAAACAUUCGAACUUAGAAUUCUUAGGAUUUUUUAAAGUGUUAUUUCAGAGCCAGCAUACAAACAGGUUCAGCCCUCUGAAGAUGAUGGAUGCUUACGAAUCCCUGAUUGGUUUUAGCCUGCAAAUACAUGACCUUCUUUUGUUCAGUAUAAUGGCUAGAUCAUAAAGUUAUAAACCAGCAAUAUAUGAAAAAAAAUAUUUACAGUGCAGUCAAAGGUAUGACCACAGUUGAGUGAACUUAACCUGCUGAAUCCAGCUGCCACCUCUUAGUGUGGUGAAGAAGACAUUUUUCAUGGGCUCUACAAACCCACUACAGUUUUUGGGGAAGUUUUUGGACUGAAAGCCCAAACCCUGUGCUGAAAGCUGGAAGAUCCCAGAAGACACUGUCUGAGAGAAAAACUGAAGAACCAGAAAGGAACAAAGAGCUAAUCCUAUUGAGCUCUCACUGUAGAAGGUGAUGAGCUGCUGUGGCACCCAAAGGCAGCUGUGCUUUGCACCCUGGCUCUGGCUGAAAACAUUUUUUCCACAAGAAAAGGAAAAAAGCCUUGAUAAGCAGGUUAUGACCUUGUGCCAGCCUUUCUCUCUGCAACCAAAGAGGUCAGUAUACUGACACCUCCUUGACCUCAUAAGCCUGGAGUAAUAGUUUCCUAAACCUGCUUCAGGCCAUAACAGCUUUUUCUGGCAUUGUUGAUUCCUUGUGCAUAAUUCUCAUAACCUGUCAUCUGGAAUUAGGUCUUGUUUUCAGUUAAAAAUAGCAUAUUUUGUCACAUAAAUUGUGUUUUCAAAUGUUUCAAAUUUUGGGUUAAAAAUAUCUCACCCAAACCCCUGGCUUUAAAGACAUCAUAGGAAAUUGUAUAUGCACCAAGAUGUGUUAAUAAAAUAUUAUCUGGACAAAGCAGCUGGAAGACAAACAGAACUAGACAGUUGCAAUUACUUUCCCUGCCAAAACUCACUCUCAAGUUCAGUAGUCAGGUAAGAUCAUUCCUUUAGGUCCCACAGGUCAUUCCUAUGGCUGUAUCUGGAUAUGUCAAAGCGUUUGCAAAUGCAAUUGUAAGACAAGACCAUAUCAGUUUUGCUAGAUAGAGAAUCUUUGUCUCCAGUAAAUAUCACCUCAUUUGGAAAAAAGCCCACUCUUUUCUCUUCAGUGCUGCUAUCACUACUAGGUGAUUGUCAUGAUGGACAACACUUAUUUCAGAACAACUCAGCAUUUUGCUCAAU